rnacentral:rRNA from 1 species
GUACGGAAGGCAGCAGUGAGGAAUUUUGGACAAUGGGCGAAAGCCUGAUCCAGCAAUGCCGCGUGCAGGACGAAGGCCUUCGGGUUGUAAACUGCUUUUGUACGGAGCGAAAAGGCUUCCACUAAUACUGGAGGCUCAUGACGGUACCGUAAGAAUAAGCACCGGCUAACUACGUGCCAGCAGCCGCGGUAAUACGUAGGGUGCAAGCGUUAAUCGGAAUUACUGGGCGUAAAGCGUCCGCAGGCGGUUCUAUAAGACAGAUGUGAAAUCCCCGGGCUCAACCUGGGAACUGCAUUUGUGACUGUAGAGCUAGAGUACGGCAGAGGGGGAUGGAAUUCCGCGUGUAGCAGUGAAAUGCGUAGAUAUGCGGAGGAACACCGAUGGCGAAGGCGAUCCCCUGGGCCUGUACUGACGCUCAUGGACGAAAGCGUGGGGAGCAAACAGGAUUAGAUACCCGUGUAGUCA